GGAGUAGUACUCAAGUGGUUAUAAGAGGCAUCUCUGCUAAGGAUGUAGGCCAAAAUAUGGUGCAAGGGUUCGAAUCCCUUCUGCUCCGCCA
rnacentral:tRNA from 1 species